UCCUCUCACCGAUCUCCUCCCUCCUUUCUCCUUUGGCAACCGCCGAUGAGGUCUCCUCUGUGGUGCCGAUUUGUUUGAUUUUGUGGGUAUUCAUAGUGUUCAGCAGCGAAUCAAACGAAAAUUGAGCCCAAGGAUGGAAGAAUACGACACAAGCUUCUAUUAAGGGAAAUAAUAGAUUUUGUUACAACAAUAUAGUUUGUCAAAUACAUAGGAUUAACAAGAUCAAGCAAUCAUAUAUUAAAUAUGAAAGGUCGUUCAUGGCCUCUUACUGGAGG